CCUACGGGCGGCAGCAGUGAGGAAUAUUGGUCAAUGGGCUUACGCCUGAACCAGCCAAGUCGCGUGAGGGAAGACUGCCCUAUGGGUUGUAAACCUCUUUUGUCAGGGAGCAAUUGGCGCUACGUGUAGCGUUAUCGAGAGUACCUGAAGAAAAAGCAUCGGCUAACUCCGUGCCAGCAGCCGCGGUAAUACGGAGGAUGCGAGCGUUAUCCGGAUUUAUUGGGUUUAAAGGGUGCGUAGGCGGAAGGUUAAGUCAGCGGUAAAAUGUCGGUGCUCAACACCGGCCUGCCGUUGAAACUGGUAUUCUUGAGUGAGCGAGAAGUAUGCGGAAUGCGUGGUGUAGCGGUGAAAUGCAUAGAUAUCACGCAGAACUCCGAUUGCGAAGGCAGCAUACCGGCGCUCAACUGACGCUGAGGCACGAAAGCGUGGGGAUCGAACAGGAUUAGAUACCCCAGUAGUC
rnacentral:rRNA from 1 species